rnacentral:rRNA from 1 species
CCUACGGGAGGCAGCAGUGAGGAAUAUUGGUCAAUGGCCGGAAGGCUGAACCAGCCAAGCCGCGUGAAGGACGAAGGUGCCAAGCAUUGUAAACCUCUUUUGUCAAGGGACAAAAUCAGGCUCGAGAGCCUGACCGAGGGUACCUGAAGAAAAAGCAUCGGCUAACUCCGUGCCAGCAGCCGCGGUAAUACGGAGGAUGCGAGCGUUAACCGGAAUUACUGGGUGUAAAGGGCUGGUAGGCGGUAUGACAAGUCAAGGGUGAAUUCCCGGGGCUCAACGUGGGAACUGCCUUUGAAACUGGCGAACUUGAGUGUGUGAGAGGAAAGUGGAAUGCCUGGUGUAGGGGUGAAAUGCGUAGAUAUCAGGAGGAACACCAGUGGCGAAGGCGGCUAUCUGGCACAUAACUGACGCUGAGGAGCGAAAGCGUGGGUAGCAAACAGGAUUAGAUACCCCAGUAGUC